ACGGACGGCUUCGGCUGAGAUUCACUUGCUCUGGUGGAACAGUAUGCGGAGUCUCUCGUGGGAGAUACAGAAAUUAGACCCGCUUAACUCGACUGACCAUAGCCUCCGUUUGAAAGCCUCCUUUCUCACCGCCAGCGAGACUCGACAGCCCUUCUGAGCCUCCAGCCUGCAGGUCUUGUCCAGACUGUUCUCUGCAUAUAGCAUCCAGAUUCACACACCAUCUCCUACUUUUAGAGAUCCCUUGCACCAGGAUCCCACUUCAUCCACUUUCUUGGGUUCUUCUCUGCUUUUCUUCAGUAACCUCUGGAGAAAGGGUGACUAGGAGAUGCUGCUGGGCCUCAGGUCACAGCCCCACAGAGCCUUCAUUGAAAAAGAGGAGGCAGGUUCAUGGACACUGGAAAUACUUAGAGCCUGUUGAGGAAAAGCCUGUGAAGGGGCACAUCAGCCCAGAAGGAGAAAGCAUGUGGAGCAGCUGUGUGGGGCCCAAGCCUAUGAGCCUACGUUUCCAUAUGAAGGAAGUGCUCUUGGACUAUGCAGUCCUUGGGUGAAGAGCAGGUGACAGGGAAAAGUCUGUCACGUCUGGGCUUCUGAGCUUCAUUGCCCAAGGAGUCAUGGAAACUUGGAAGAAAUGGUUACCAGAAGGAUGGGAGUGAGAAUUUCUGCUGGAUUUGGCAACAUUGAGAUUACCAGCGACUUCAGCAAGAAGAGGAUGACGGAAUGAUGAGUAGGCCUGUGGGAUGCUGCCGUUUUGCUGUCUUGUCCAGGACUGGGUGAUUGAAUGCAUCUCAGGUGGCCAGCUGUCUGAGGAGCGUGCCCACCGCCCACCCGCAUUCUGGCAGCCCGCGCCACCCUGGAGACCCCAGCCUCCAUUAGCAGCAGAGACGUCGAGAGAGUCUGACAUCCCUGACCUGCCAGCGAGUCUUCCUUUGUUUGACUCCAUUAGUAACUGACCUAUUAGACUUUGCAAGAAGAAGAUUCCAGAACCCACCUGCAAUCUAAACAGCUUUCAGCAGAAACAGUUGGUCUAUGUUCCUCUUGCAGAUAGCUCUGGGCGGAGGAAGCAGAAAUUGCUGUGGCAUCUCCCAAAAGCAUUUUAUAAAAGGACUAUUUAUUCUAGGUUCAGUCUAUUUUGCCCAGCACCUCUCAGACAGUCAAUAAUUCCAGUUUGUUUAUGAUUAUCCUUGUGUCCUCCCCUUCCAUCUGCCUCCCAAGCCUGCGCUUCUCGCCACAGCCGCCCCACAGAAUGGGGGAGCAUCUGUCUUUCUAAUGACCGGCCAUGGCAAUCUUCGCUGUUCAAUAUGGCUAGAUGAAGAAAACAUUUAAUUUCUACUAUGUGGGGCACUCCAAAGCCAGAUUUGACAACUGUUCCAUUGAACACUAGUAUUUCACAAUUUCCUUCGAUAACAAAAAAGAAACAGUUCUUACUCCCAGAGGAAUAUAUUUACAAGACAGAAAGUUGAUAACCAGGCCACUAGAAUGACAAAUGGUUCUAAAAUACACUGUGUAUUGAUGUUGAUGAACGUGCACUGCCUUCUGAGAGAUGGAAUUCUUCCAGAGAGUGUCUUGUUCUCAGCCUGAAGGGCCAGUAAACGUCUUAGUGAGAAGCAAGGGCCUGAGUCCUGUUUCUGGGGCCUUCUUGGAUUGGAAGAGAGAGCGCUUGGGUGAAGGCCUCUGGGCCAUCCA